rnacentral:misc_RNA from 1 species
UAACUGCGAUAAAUAGUGUGAACUGCAGAAACCUUGAACACUAAAGCUUCGAAUGCACAUUGCGCCAUGGGAGUCUUAUCCCUUGGUACGCCUGGCUCAGGGUCGUAAACCAAAAACGCAAGUAAAAUGCGUAUAAUUUAACAAAUGACGGGUUCACUCGUGUAUAUGAGUGUUCUCGUAAUGUUUUAGCGCCCAGUGUGAUGCGUGGAGUGUCUAUUGAGUAUUGUGUUUGGAAAUACAAAAUAUUGCUUGACUGACGCUAGAACAACAAUCGAACUACGCUCAUAUUUUGUGGUGCACAAGUGCAUACGCUUCAUUGUGUGUGUGUACGAGUUUUCAAUUUUCGACCUGAACUCAGACGUGAAUACCCGCUGAACUUAA